GUGGCGGUGUUCUCCCAGCGGGCGUCCUCGUCCAGCAGAGCGUGCUCCCCGAACCGGUCGCCGUCGGCCAGUACGUCCAGGACGACCUCGUCGCCGUAACUCCCCACGGAGGUCUGGUUGAUGCGGCCGUGCGCGAUCAGAUGCAGUUUGUCAGCGGGUGUUCCGCGCUCCACCAGUGUCUCGCCGGCGCGGAACUCGCGUUGUACGCACCGAUCGGCGAUCGCGGUCAGGACGUCCAGGUCGUCGAAGCCCCGGAGCAGGGCCAGUUCGCCGAGUUCACGGGGAAUGACACGGACGUCGGCGCCGUCCUGGACGAACUCCACGGUGCCGUCGCCGACGGUGUAGCUCAGGCGACGGUUGACCCGGUAGGCCCCGCCCUUGGUCUCCACCCAGGGCAGCAUGCGCAGCAGCCAGCGGGAGGAGAUCUCCUGCAUCUGCGGGGCGGACUUGGUGGUGUGGGCGAGGUUGCGGGCAGCCGCUGUGCCAAGACUGGACUGCCGCGG
rnacentral:antisense_RNA from 1 species